GAUCCUGGCUCAGAUUGAACGCUGGCGGCAUGCCUUACACAUGCAAGUCGAACGGCAGCACGGACUUCGGUCUGGUGGCGAGUGGCGAACGGGUGAGUAAUACAUCGGAACGUGCCUAGUAGUGGGGGAGUAACUACUCGAAAGAGUGGCUAAUACCGCAUGAGAUCUACGGAUGAAAGCAGGGGAUCGCAAGACCUUGUGCUACUAGAGCGGCCGAUGGCAGAUUAGGUAGG
rnacentral:rRNA from 1 species